AUUGAACGCUGGCGGCAGGCCUAACACAUGCAAGUCGAGCGGAUGAAGAGAGCUUGCUCUCUGAUUCAGCGGCGGACGGGUGAGUAAUGCCUAGGAAUCUGCCUGGUAGUGGGGAACAACGUUUCGAAAGGAACGCUAAUACCGCAUACGUCCUACGGGAGAAAGUGGGGGAUCUUCGGACCUUACGCUAUCAGAUGAGCCUAGGUACGAUUAGCUAGUUGGUGAGGUAAAGGCUCACCAAGGCGACGAUCGUUAACUGGUCUGAGAGGAUGAUCAGUCACACUGGAACUGAGACACGGUCCAGACUCCUACGGGAGGCAGCAGUGGGGAAUAUUGGACAAUGGGCGAAAGCCUGAUCCAGCCAUGCCGCGUGUGUGAAGAAGGUCUUCGGAUUGUAAAGCACUUUAAGUUGGGAGGAAGGGCAGUAAGUUAAUACCUUGCUGUUUUGACGUUACCGACAGAAUAAGCACCGGCUAACUUCGUGCCAGCAGCCGCCGUAACAC
rnacentral:rRNA from 1 species